rnacentral:rRNA from 1 species
GUCUAUGGUCAUGCCACCCUGAACAAGCCCAAUCCUGUUUGAUCUCGGAAGCCAAGCAGGUUUGGGCCUUGUUAGUACUUGGACGGGAGACCACCUAGGAAGAUCAGGUGCUGUAGGAG